AAAGGGGUAUUGACUUUUUUUGCUAUGUCCUUUUAUUUAAAACAUUCAGUUCAUUUUUAACUUAAUAAAUUCUAUUUACAUUUGCACUCCUUUUGUCUUUAUUACUGACUGAAUUUUGUAUUUCACAAUCAAAUCUAACUGUCAAUUGAAAGGACAAGCAAAUCAUACACUACAGAUAAAACAUAAAGCAUUAACGUUUAAAACUGACAUUGACAAAUAAUUAAGCAGUCCAUUUCUGUGUGGGCCUGAUAAUUUUAACUUUGUUCUUGAAGAUAACUAAGCACCUUACACCCAGCAGCAGAGCCUGAGAAGAUUUUGGAGAGUAACCUUUGUUUGCUGCUCUGUUAGAAGUCUAACACAGAAGAAUGUGACUGGAUAAAAGGGCUCAAAGUGAAAAACAAAGAAUUAGCUGGGCACAAUAGUUUUGAAGCCCCCAAGGAGGUAUCACUUGUUCGCUAUGUUGCCAACUCUGAGAGGGUCUUCCUCAGGCAAAGGUAACGUGACGUUUUUAUAGUGAGGCAAAUCGUAAUACACAAUUGGCUGAUUAUGUUUCUUUUUUUUUUUUUUUAGCCUUACUAUAUAAGCCUAAAUACCGAGCAAUACCCACAGAACCUUCUCAUAUGUCAGAACGUCACAAAUAAAUGAUACCUCCUACGGAGCUUAAAACUAUUCAGAGUGCAGAUAUUUCCUUGUUUUUCACAAAAGGAGAAUAGAUUCUCAGUGAAUUUUCUUCAUUUGUCUUAAAGAAAUGUUCAAACAAAACCAGCACAUAACAUCAGCUUUUCAUUUUGUUUUUACAUUCUGCUAAGAUAAAUGCAAACUUGGGUAAAUGUUAAGACAUAAAUGAAAACAUUAAGAUACCAUUAAUAUUUAUUAUAUUUUGUUAAUGGUUUAAAUCAUCACUAUAUUUCCAAUCAUCACAGGAAACUGAUGAAUAGCAGCUUACAAAAAAUGUGCUUUUACUCGAAAGUAAAUUUUGUCUGAUCCAUUUUAUAUAACAAAAAUUAUAACCAUUACACAAAAUAAAGUCAAAGCUUGCAUUCAUGAAAACAUUCAUAUUAAAAAAGGUUACAAAAAGUACACAGUAACAGUAAUUAUAAAACCUAUGGAUUAGGACGCAGUGUCAAAAACAACCUCUUUACUGUGGAGUAAACAUCACAUUCGCCGAGGCGUUGUAACUUUCCUCAAGUGUCCUACAUGAGAGAAAGAUGACAGGUUAAAAACACAGGUAGAAAACAUUGACUACAGCCUGUCUUGGUUAAAAGCCCACUCACCACCAAAAUGAUCUUAUUGCUGAGUAAGUAGCUGUCAUUCAUAAAAUAGUUUUGUGUUUAAGUUCUGUAGAUAUUCGACUUUAUAUUUGAAUGUGAUUUUAAAUUUAACAGUGUACUACCAAGACAACUGGAGUAUGAAUGUACAGUAUGCAAUACAUCCACAUUAAAAUAAUUGUUGCUAUCAAAAGGAAACUGAACUGUUCUCAAAGCUCCCUGCCACUGUGGAAUCAUGCUAUGUUCGGCUGUCUCAUUUUGAGAAUAUUUUUUUCCAUUGGUUCUUCAUAGACAGUGUUCACUGCACAGACAGGAAGUCUUGUUUGGAGUCCAGUUCUGUCUUCUCGUGUUGAGUGUCCACUGGUCCAGUCUGUCUGGGUCACCUAGAGGAAAAC